GAUGAACGCUGGCGGUAUGCUUAACACAUGCAAGUCGAACGGACUCUUCGGAGUUAGUGGCGGACGGGUGAGUAACGCGUGAGAAUCUGGCUUUGGGUUCGGGACAACCACUGGAAACGGUGGCUAAUACCGGAUGUGCCGAGAGGUAAAAGAGAAAUUGCCUGAAGAUGAGCUCGCGUCUGAUUAGCUAGUUGGUGAGGUAAAGGCUCACCAAGGCAGCGAUCAGUAGCUGGUCUGAGAGGAUGACCAGCCACACUGGGACUGAGACACGGCCCAGACUCCUACGGGAGGCAGCAGUGGGGAAUUUUCCGCAAUGGGCGAAAGCCUGACGGAGCAAUAUCGCGUGAGGGAAGAAGGCUCUUGGGUUGUAAACCUCUUUUCUUAGGGAAGAACAAAAUGACGGUACCUAAGGAAUCAGCAUCGGCUAACUCCGUG
rnacentral:rRNA from 1 species